GCCUUCGUCGUGAAGUGGUCAGCACGCUUGACGCGUAACCAAGAGGUCCGUGGUUCGAUUCCUUGCGAAGGUG
rnacentral:tRNA from 1 species